AUGCAUCGUGUGCGAGUUGUGCAUGCCUCACCUUCGUCUGCGGCGGAGAGAGGAUGGGUUGGCAAAAUAUCUCGCGAGCCCUGGUCGCCUCCAGUUUCCCUUCCCUCUCUCCAAUCUCUCUUGAUCUACUACCGCCGCCGCCGCCUCCUCUCGGUUUCUGAUGCUGCCACUCCGACGAAGAUCACCGCGCCGCUAGUUCUUAGAUCCCGGGAGAAGGGGAACAGCAGCCGCGCCAGGCGGCAUGCCUCGUCCGAGCCGCAUGGUGGCCAACACAUCGACGGUUUCAAGGCCGGUCCUGGGCGGCGCCUCGUCAGCGUCGUGGAUGGAUCGGGCAGCGCCUUGGCAUUCCAGAGGGGCGAAGUGGGCCGGCCAGCAUACGUGGGGCGCAAAGGUCACGAGCAGGAGGGAGAUGCGCUGGAGGUGAUGGAGAAGGAAGUCGGAGGCGGCAUCAGCGUCCAUGGCGACGCCACCCCAGGAACCCUCCUGCACACCUCGGCAUGGCUCGUCCGUGCCACAUGGUGGCCGAGAUGCUGGAGUGGAUCAAGAGCGGACCGUAGCAGCAGGAGCAAGGAUCUGGUGGUGGUUCAUGAUAUUGGACUGCAUUACUAA
rnacentral:rRNA from 1 species